rnacentral:rRNA from 1 species
GGAAAGGCGCGCGAUACAGGGUGACAGCCCCGUACACAAAAAUGCACAUGCUGUGAGCUCGAUGAGUAGGGCGGGACACGUGGUAUCCUGUCUGAAUAUGGGGGGACCAUCCUCCAAGGCUAAAUACUCCUGACUGACCGAUAGUGAACCAGUACCGUGAGGGAAAGGCGAAAAGAACCCCGGCGAGGGGAGUGAAAAAGAACCUGAAACCGUGUACGUACAAGCAGUGGGAGCACGCUUAGGCGUGUGACUGCGUACCUUUUGUAUAAUGGGUCAGCGACUUAUAUUCUGUAGCAAGGUUAACCGAAUAGGGGAGCCGAAGGGAAACCGAGUCUUAACUGGGCGUUAAGUUGCAGGGUAUAGACCCGAAACCCGGUGAUCUAGCCAUGGGCAGGUUGAAGGUUGGGUAACACUAACUGGAGGACCGAACCGACUAAUGUUGAAAAAUUAGCGGAUGACUUGUGGCUGGGGGUGAAAGGCCAAUCAAACCGGGAGAUAGCUGGUUCUCCCCGAAAGCUAUUUAGGUAGCGCCUCGUGAAUUCAUCUCCGGGGGUAGAGCACUGUUUCGGCAAGGGGGUCAUCCCGACUUACCAACCCGAUGCAAACUGCGAAUACCGGAGAAUGUUAUCACGGGAGACACACGGCGGGUGCUAACGUCCGUCGUGAAGAGGGAAACAACCCAGACCGCCAGCUAAGGUCCCAAAGUCAUGGUUAAGUGGGAAACGAUGUGGGAAGGCCCAGACAGCCAGGAUGUUGGCUUAGAAGCAGCCAUCAUUUAAAGAAAGCGUAAUAGCUCACUGGUCGAGUCGGCCUGCGCGGAAGAUGUAACGGGGCUAAACCAUGCACCGAAGCUGCGGCAGCGACGCUGAUGCGUUGUUGGGUAGGGGAGCGUUCUGUAAGCCUGCGAAGGUGUGCUGUGAGGCAUGCUGGAGGUAUCAGAAGUGCGAAUGCUGACAUAAGUAACGAUAAAGCGGGUGAAAAGCCCGCUCGCCGGAAGACCAAGGGUUCCUGUCCAACGUUAAUCGGGGCAGGGUGAGUCGACCCCUAAGGCGAGGCCGAAAGGCGUAGUCGAUGGGAAACAGGUUAAUAUUCCUGUACUUGGUGUUACUGCGAAGGGGGGACGGAGAAGGCUAUGUUGGCCGGGCGACGGUUGUCCCGGUUUAAGCGUGUAGGCUGGUUUUCCAGGCAAAUCCGGAAAAUCAAGGCUGAGGCGUGAUGACGAGGCACUGCGGUGCUGAAGCAACAAAUGCCCUGCUUCCAGGAAAAGCCUCUAAGCAUCAGGUAACAUCAAAUCGUACCCCAAACCGACACAGGUGGUCAGGUAGAGAAUACCAAGGCGCUUGAGAGAACUCGGGUGAAGGAACUAGGCAAAAUGGUGCCGUAACUUCGGGAGAAGGCACGCUGAUAUGUAGGUGAAGUCCCUCGCGGAUGGAGCUGAAAUCAGUCGAAGAUACCAGCUGGCUGCAACUGUUUAUUAAAAACACAGCACUGUGCAAACACGAAAGUGGACGUAUACGGUGUGACGCCUGCCCGGUGCCGGAAGGUUAAUUGAUGGGGUUAGCGCAAGCGAAGCUCUUGAUCGAAGCCCCGGUAAACGGCGGCCGUAACUAUAACGGUCCUAAGGUAGCGAAAUUCCUUGUCGGGUAAGUUCCGACCUGCACGAAUGGCGUAAUGAUGGCCAGGCUGUCUCCACCCGAGACUCAGUGAAAUUGAACUCGCUGUGAAGAUGCAGUGUACCCGCGGCAAGACGGAAAGACCCCGUGAACCUUUACUAUAGCUUGACACUGAACAUUGAGCCUUGAUGUGUAGGAUAGGUGGGAGGCUUUGAAGUGUGGACGCCAGUCUGCAUGGAGCCGACCUUGAAAUACCACCCUUUAAUGUUUGAUGUUCUAACGUUGACCCGUAAUCCGGGUUGCGGACAGUGUCUGGUGGGUAGUUUGACUGGGGCGGUCUCCUCCUAAAGAGUAACGGAGGAG